CCUACGGGCGGCAGCAGUGAGGAAUAUUGGUCAAUGGGCGGGAGCCUGAACCAGCCAAGUCGCGUGAAGGCUGACAGCCCUAUGGGUUUUAAACUUCUUUUAUAAGGGCAUAAAGUGCCCCACGUGUAGGGUUAUGUAUGUACCUUAUGAAUAAGCCUCGGCUAAUUCCGUGCCAGCAGCCGCGGUAAUACGGAAGAUGCGAGCGUUAUCCGGAUUUAUUGGGUUUAAAGGGAGCGUAGGCGGUUCCAUAAGUCAGCGGGAAAAUCAUGCGGCUCAACCGUACCGUGCCGUUGAAACUGUGGGACUAGAGAAUGCGCAGGGUACACGGAAUACGUGGUGUAGCGGUGAAAUGCUUAGAUAUCACGAAGAACUCCGAUCGCGAAGGCAUUGUACCGGAGCAAGACUGACGCUGAGGCUCGAAAGCGCGGGUAGCAAACAGGAUUAGAUACCCGGGUAGUC
rnacentral:rRNA from 1 species